rnacentral:rRNA from 1 species
UACGUAGGGCGCAAGCGUUGUCCGGAAUUAUUGGGCGUAAAGAGCUCGUAGGCGGCUUGUCACGUCGAUUGUGAAAGCCCGAGGCUUAACCUCGGGUCUGCAGUCGAUACGGGCUAGCUAGAGUGUGGUAGGGGAGAUCGGAAUUCCUGGUGUAGCGGUGAAAUGCGCAGAUAUCAGGAGGAACACCGGUGGCGAAGGCGGAUCUCUGGGCCAUUACUGACGCUGAGGAGCGAAAGCGGUGGGAGCGAACAGG